CCUACGGGAGGCAGCAGUGGGGAAUAUUGGACAAUGGGCGAAAGCCUGAUCCAGCAAUGCCGCGUGAGUGAUGAAGGCCUUAGGGUUGUAAAGCUCUUUUUACCAGGGAUGAUAAUGACAGUACCUGGAGAAUAAGCUCCGGCUAACUCCGUGCCAGCAGCCGCGGUAAUACGGAGGGAGCUAGCGUUGUUCGGAAUUACUGGGCGUAAAGCGUACGUAGGCGGUUAUUCAAGUCAGAGGUGAAAGCCCGGGGCUCAACCCCGGAACGGCCUUUGAAACUAGAUAGCUAGAAUCUUGGAGAGGUUAGUGGAAUUCCGAGUGUAGAGGUGAAAUUCGUAGAUAUUCGGAAGAACACCAGUGGCGAAGGCGACUAACUGGACAAGUAUUGACGCUGAGGUACGAAAGCGUGGGGAGCAAACAGGAUUAGAUACCCUGGUAGUCCACGCCGUAAACGAUGAUAACUAGCUGUUCGGGCACUUGGUGCUUGAGUGGCGCAGCUAACGCAUUAAGUUAUCCGCCUGGGGAGUACGGUCGCAAGAUUAAAACUUAAAGGAAUUGACGG
rnacentral:rRNA from 1 species